rfam:Camelus ferus unplaced genomic scaffold scaffold2496, whole genome shotgun sequence.
GAGGGUAUAGCUCAAGAGGUAGAGCACAUACUCAGCAUACACAAGGUCCUGGGUUCAAUCCCCAGUACCUCCU